rnacentral:tRNA from 1 species
GCCAGGGUGGCAGAAUCUGGUCAAUGCGCCAGACUUGAGAUCUGGUUCCCCUUACGGGGAGUGCGGGUUCAAAUCCCACCCCUGGCG